UACGGAGGGUGCAAGCGUUAUCCGGAUUCACUGGGUUUAAAGGGUGCGUAGGUGGGCAGGUAAGUCAGUGGUGAAAUCUCCGAGCUUAACUCGGAAACUGCCAUUGAUACUAUCUGUCUUGAAUUAUCUGGAGGUCAGCGGAAUAUGUCAUGUAGCGGUGAAAUGCUUAGAUAUGACAUAGAACACCAAUUGCGAAGGCAGCUGGCUACACGAAUAUUGACACUGAUGCACGAAAGCGUGGGGAGCAAACAGG
rnacentral:rRNA from 1 species